GGGCGUAUAACUCAGGGGUAGAGUGCCACCUUGACAUGGUGGUGGUCGUUGGUUCAAAUCCAGCUACGCCCA
rnacentral:tRNA from 1 species